GAUGAAGAACGUAGCGAAAUGCGAUAAGUAAUGUGAAUUGCAGAAUUCAGUGAAUCAUCGAAUCUUUGAACGCACAUUGCGCCCGGCAGUAAUCUGCCGGGCAUGCCUGUCCGAGCGUCAUUUCACCCCUCGAGCCGCUUUUAGUGGAUCGGUGUUGGGGCACUACGGUAAAACGUAGGCCCUGAAAUGAAGUGGCGGUCCCGCCGCGGUGCCCCCAUGCGUAGUAACGUUUAGUCUCGCAUCGGGUCCCGGCGGAGGCCUGCCGUCAAGCCUAUUUAUUCUCAGAAUAGUUUGACCUCGGAUCAGGUAGGGUUACCCGCUGAACUUAAGCAUAUCAAUAAGCGGAGGA
rnacentral:misc_RNA from 1 species